ACCAGUGCCGAAGUUGAAGUCAGUUGAGUCAGCCCUCGAGCUGUUGCAAGCUGCUCCUGCGAAAAUUGAAGAAGAAUCGGAAAAAAUAGCUGAGAAAUUCUUAUCGGGAGAUACAGAAGUCGAUGAAUUCCUGGAUCAAUUCUUGACCCGAAGAAAGAUAAUGCAUUUACGAAAGGUGAAGGUAGACAAAAUGCGAGAGCUUAAGAGGAAACCGAAAUCGUCAACAGGGGGUUAUCCAGCAUAAAAUGUUGGAGGUGGCGAAACAGGUGGAGCGUCAAUUAGAUGAAGAGCUUGAAGCUCUGGAGAACCUAUUGAUGAUAUUGAAAAGCUGAGGGAGAAGAAGUCACAGGAGAUGAAGAAAGUACAUCAGCAGAAACAGGGACACGGAGAGUACUCUGAAAGUCUGUUUAUUUUACAAGGAUGGAUGUCCAAGAUGUAAAAUUGCAGAUCAUCACCUACAAAUUCUUGUUAAAAAACAUGUGAAGGCGAGGUUUUGUAAAUUAAAUGCAAAAGACUACAUCGUAGGCUUCACGGACCUCGGAAAUUGCGACGAUUUUUCCACAGAGAUGAUGCAGUGGAGAAUAGCCCAGUCUGGUGCAAUAUCAUACACUGGUGACCUGUUGAAUCCACCAGAAAAGGGAAAGAAGCCGUCUAAUCUACUCUUUGGAAACAAGAAAUCAAAAACAAUUCGAGGCAGAACUAAUUCGGACGACGGUGGUUCUGAUAACGAAUGAUUUAUUCUCAUUCGAUCGAAUUUUCAUAGUUAUUCGCAUACCUUUUUGUAUUAUUAUUAUUUUUUUUACGUCACGCACACUGAUAAAUGAUAAAUUACGAAUUGAAUCAAUCUGAUCGAACACAAUAAACAUAUAUUUAUGGGUUUA